UAGGGAAUAUUAGUAAUGGGCGAAAGCCUGAACUAGCAACGCCGCGUGUGCGAAGGAGGCCUUCGGGUUGUAAAGCACUUUUUGAGAGGAUGAGGAAGGACGGUACUCUCAGAAUAAGUCUCGGCUAACUACGUGCCAGCAGCCGCGGUAACACGUAGGAGGCGAACGUUAUCCGGAUUUACUGGGCGUAAAGCGCGUGUAGGUGGUUUGGUAAGUAGGGCGUGAAAGCUCCUGGCUCAACUGGGAGAGGCCGUUCUAAACUGCCGAACUAGAGGAUGGUAGAGGGAGGUGGAAUUCCGGUGUAGCGGUGGAAUGCGCAGAUAUCCGGAGGAACACCAGUGGCGAAAGCGGCCUCCUGGACCACUCCUGACACUCAGACGCGAAAGCUAGGGUAGCAAACGG
rnacentral:rRNA from 1 species